UGCCAUGACUUUAUGAAUUGAAGACUUUCUGCUCUGAUUUAAGACCUUCACUUGUGGAAGGGUGAAUCAGGAUUUUAAAGCACUUUU